rnacentral:rRNA from 1 species
CAGUAGCCACGGGAAUACAGAGGGUGCAAGCGUUAAUCGGAAUUACUGGGCGUAAAGCGCGAGUAGGUGGUUUGUUAAGUUGGAUGUGAAAUCCCCGGGCUCAACCUGGGAACUGCAUCCAAAACUGGCAAGCUAGAGUAUGGUAGAGGGUGGUGGAAUUUCCUGUGUAGCGGUGAAAUGCGUAGAUAUAGGAAGGAACACCAGUGGCGAAGGCGACCACCUGGACUGAUACUGACACUGAGGUGCGAAAGCGUGGGGAGCAAACAGGAUUAGAUACCCCUGUAGUCCCUGUCUCUUAUAC